rnacentral:rRNA from 1 species
UAGCGGGAGGCCUAACACAUGCAAGCCGAGCGGUAUUUAUUCUUCGGAAUAGAGAGAGCGGCGUACGGGUGCGGAACACGUGUGCAACCUGCCUUUAUCAGGGGGAUAGCCUUUCGAAAGGAAGAUUAAUACCCCAUAAUAUAAGAAACGGCAUCGUUUUUUAUUGAAAACUCCGGUGGAUAGAGAUGGGCACGCGCAAGAUUAGAUAGUUGGUAGGGUAACGGCCUACCAAGUCAGUGAUCUUUAGGGGGCCUGAGAGGGUGAUCCCCCACACUGGUACUGAGACACGGACCAGACUCCUACGGGAGGCAGCAGUGAGGAAUAUUGGACAAUGGGUGAGAGCCUGAUCCAGCCAUCCCGCGUGAAGGACGACGGCCCUAUGGGUUGUAAACUUCUUUUGUAUAGGGAUAAACCUUUCCACGUGUGGAAAGCUGAAGGUACUAUACGAAUAAGCACCGGCUAACUCCGUGCCAGCAGCCGCGGUAAUACGGAGGGUGCAAGCGUUAUCCGGAUUUAUUGGGUUUAAAGGGUCCGUAGGCGGAUCUGUAAGUCAGUGGUGAAAUCUCAUAGCUUAACUAUGAAACUGCCAUUGAUACUGCAGGUCUUGAGUAAAGUAGAAGUGGCUGGAAUAAGUAGUGUAGCGGUGAAAUGCAUAGAUAUUACUUAGAACACCAAUUGCGAAGGCAGGUCACUAUGUUUUAACUGACGCUGAUGGACGAAAGCGUGGGGAGCGAACAGGAUUAGAUACCCUGGUAGUCCACGCCGUAAACGAUGCUAACUCGUUUUUGGGUCUUCGGAUUCAGAGACUAAGCGAAAGUGAUAAGUUAGCCACCUGGGGAGUACCUUC